UGUUCCUCUUUUUUGAAAUAAAAAACCUUUCGAUCGAAAAAAAAAAUUUAGUCAUAGAUUUACUCUAAAAAGUUUUAGAAAUUCAUAGUUUCGAUUAGAACCUCGUUGCUAUCUUAAAAACCUUUUGUGAACUGAUUCUGACCUCCAAUAGAAUAGAGAGAUACGGAGGGAAAAGAGAAAAAUAAUUGUUGUCAAACGCUCAAGACCUAGGAGAGGAGAGACCAUAGGGUUUGGAAAGUGAGAAGGGAAACCUUGUGGUUUGAUUUUUAUUUUCGUAAAUUGUUUCAAUAAAAGUGGAAAGGGGAAAAGGAAAAAAAAAGGACGGCAUAUGCUUUGUUGAUAAGAAUUUGAAAAAGACAAUUUAAAUCGAUAAGCUUGAAGCGCACCCUCAGUAGUUCAAACCGUACGUAUAAACUUACGCAACAAAGCCAACACACUAGCUGUUACUUAAUCACAGAAGUUUCAAAUAUUUUUUUUUAACAUUAUGUACCAUAACACAUUAAUUUUUUUUCGGGAC
rnacentral:lncRNA from 1 species